GCCCGGGUGGCUCAGUCAGUUAAGUCUCUGACUUCUGCUCAGGUCACUAUGUCUCCUCGGUUCGUGGGUUCAAGCCCCGCUUUGGGCC
rnacentral:tRNA from 1 species